GACGAACGCUGGCGGCGUGCUUAACACAUGCAAGUCGAACGGAAAGGCCUCUUUCGGGGGGUACUCGAGUGGCGAACGGGUGAGUAACACGUGAGUAACCUGCCCUUGACUUUGGGAUAACUUCAGGAAACUGGGGCUAAUACCGGAUAGGAGCUCCUGCUGCAUGGUGGGGGUUGGAAAGUUUCGGCGGUUGGGGAUGGACUCGCGGCUUAUCAGCUUGUUGGUGGGGUAGUGGCUUACCAAGGCUUUGACGGGUAGCCGGCCUGAGAGGGUGACCGGCCACAUUGGGACUGAGAUACGGCCCAGACUCCUACGGGAGGCAGCAGUGGGGAAUAUUGCACAAUGGGUGGAAGCCUGAUGCAGCAACGCCGUGUGCGGGAUGACGGCCUUCGGGCUGUAAACCGCUUUCGCUCAUGACGAAGCUUUGUGUGACGGUAGUGGGUAAAGAAGCACCGGCUAACUACGUG
rnacentral:rRNA from 1 species